UACGUAGGGGCCAAACGUUGUCCGGAUUUAUUGGGCGUAAAGGGCUCGUAGGCGGUUCAACAAGUCGGUCGUGAAAGCCCGGGGCUCAACUCCGGGACGCCGGUCGAUACUGUUGUGACUAGAGUUCGGUAGAGGUGAGUGGAAUUCUCAGUGUAGCGGUGGAAUGCGCAGAUAUUGAGAGGAACACCAUUAGCGAAGGCGGCUCACUGGGCCGAUACUGACGCUGAGGAGCGAAAGCGUGGGGAGCAAACAGG
rnacentral:rRNA from 1 species